UUGGAGGCAGCAGUUCUGUGUCUAGGAAGAGUUAAAGUAUAUUCGUCUGUAUGAGCUAAGAAAUAAUCUAGACAAUUCCACACAGAAGCUAAACGCUCUCCUGUUUGCAUUUAAAGGUGACUUUACAAACUGCAAAGUAAAAUCCACACGAUAAUUUUAAAUUAUAUUAUGCUCUUUACUUACAGUGAUAUUACACAGCAGAUAAAACCACCAGGCUAAGUCAAGAGAAAGGAUGUUAGAGACAGGCAAGUUAGGGCUUCGGUGUUUUGUCUUGUUUUUAAUAUUUUUUUUCAGCCUCCUGAACAAAGCUCACUCAGUUCUGGACCCUGGGUCAGCUGGGACCUUAGGCCCAAAGAACCUGGCUGGAAGUCAUCUUGCCUCAGUUGCUUUGUCACCAGGCGUUUGAAGCCCUUUAUCCCCCAACCUUGUCCCUAGCCCUCAUGGCAGAUUCGACCCGAGCCUCCUGAAUUCAGUCCAGCCCUGCUUUUACUAUGUGUCCUCAUGUCAGUGAUUGGAUAUGUGCUGCUCUUAGGAUAAAGGCCCCUGUGUUGAAGGCUCCAUAACCAUACGUGAGACUCUGGAGGAGGUGGUGGGACCUUGAAGAGGAGAGACCGGGGAAGGAGAAGUAUUACCAAGUAAACAGGAAGAGCAUAGCCAGCAGCUUCCACAUCUAUAGAAAUGACAGAGACCGCUGGCUGCCCUGACAGUCACCCAACGCUUCUCUGCAACACUGGCUCCAGCAGUUCACCGGCAGCCUACUGGCCCAGGAUAUCUGCAGACUUAUCUGUGAAGCUGGACUAUGGAGGACCAGGCUACUUUAUCUUUGCAAAGCUAGGCAGAUAACUUCCUCUGUGUCCUGCUUGUCCACAGUUUGGGCAGCAUUCUGUCAGCAGCUGAAGCAAGGGCAAGUUUUUUGUUUUUUGUUUUUUGUUUUUUGUUUUUUGUUUUUUGUUUGUUUGUUUGUUUUUGCUGAUGGCUAGCCGUGCCACAAUGGAAGGGAACUCCAUGUAGAGGUUCUUCAAUGCCCAUCUUCUUCUUUGAAGUAGUAUGGGAAUGUUGCCACGAGCAGACCCAUCUAGUGUCAUGAAAAGCCUUGUGUUAAUAAAGCAUCUUUAAAUGCCAUA